rnacentral:rRNA from 1 species
AUUGAACGCUGGCGGCAGGCCUAACACAUGCAAGUCGAACGGUAACAGGAAGCAGCUCGCUGCUUUGCUGACGAGUGGCGGACGGGUGAGUAAUGUCUGGGAAACUGCCUGAUGGAGGGGGAUAACUACUGGAAACGGUAGCUAAUACCGCAUAACGUCGCAAGACCAAAGAGGGGGACCUUCGGGCCUCUUGCCAUCGGAUGUGCCCAGAUGGGAUUAGCUAGUAGGUGGGGUAAAGGCUCACCUAGGCGACGAUCCCUAGCUGGUCUGAGAGGAUGACCAGCCACACUGGAACUGAGACACGGUCCAGACUCCUACGGGAGGCAGCAGUGGGGAAUAUUGCACAAUGGGCGCAAGCCUGAUGCAGCCAUGCCGCGUGUAUGAAGAAGGCCUUCGGGUUGUAAAGUACUCUCAGCGGGGAGGAAGGGAGUAAAGUUAAUACCUUUGCUCAUUGACGUUACCCGCAGAAGAAGCACCGGCUAACUCCGUGCCAGCCGCCGCAGUA